rnacentral:misc_RNA from 1 species
CAGUGAUUGAUGAGAAAUUACCAUCUGGAUUUUUUAAAUGUAGAAUAUUUAAACUUGAUUUACAAAGUGAUUUAUAUACACAACUGAUUCUGUCUAAAAUUUUCUUGAUACCAAAGAUUAAUGAAAUAAAAGUCUGUGCCGAUUGAAAGUCCAUGCCAAAAGUUUUCAACCAUCAUGAUUUGGGCAAGAGCUGUAUGGAUCAAAAUUAUGAGGAAAUAGAAGAUGUUGUGCCAAGAAGGUGGAUAAAUACAGAAAAAAAAAUAUUAUUUUGGCCUUCUGGUAUAUUUUAUCGUAGAGCUGUCAAUGAUGAAAUGGAUGCAGAUGAAACAUGGGACAAAUAUAAACUUAUCAAAAUCAAAUUUGAGAGUGAUAAUAUAAAUGAGCUAAAAGAAUAUGUUUACACAACAGCAGCAGAGGAGGAGGAUGAAAUAGAUCAUUGUUUUACGAGUUCCAAAGGCGCAUUUAAAGUGAAAAGUAAUGUUUAUGAGUUACCAGAUUUUUUGUUGCAUCCACCAGUUUUGCAAUCCAUACCAACAAAAUCAUUAAAGAGAUCAUUUGAUUUUAAUUUGUCACCUGGAUCUAAUAUUUUAAAACAAUCAAGUAUUUGUUCUGCUUUGCCUCACUCUUUACCUUUACAUACAGAGGAACAAUCAACUUCGUAUUCUGAGUCACUGUCUUUGCCUAACUUCUUUCAACCUUCAGAAUCAACUGAAAAGGAACAAUCAAAUUUUUUUACAGUUUCACCUCAUACUCAAGAGUUCAAAAAAAAGAAAACAAAAGAAGAAGUACAAAAAAAAACUACGAUUGAAGCCCUUGGACCAGAAAAGUUAGUUAAAAAUCAGUUUCCUAUGGAAGUUGGAAGUUAAACAACUGAGUUUUUUAGGCGCAGAAGAUUAUAAACAGCUGACAAGAUUGGUUAUUAAUAGAUUAUUUACAAACACUCUAUUGGCACAGUUUAAUUUAAAAGGUUCUGGUGGAAAAAUUGGUUUGUUAUCAACGAAGA